AGGGCAGGGAGUGGGAAAGUGAAAAGCUACUAAAAUCCAGUCCUGGCCUCUCUUCCCUCCAGCGUAAAAGCCUCCCUGGGGUGCUUGGGCAAUACAACAGGCUCCGACUAGACCAUCCAUUGUCCCACAGCCCUUUUGAUCUUUUCCCCCCUCAGAGGCCAAGGCACCGUGAGCUACCUUGCAAUUAUUUCCCAAGUACUUUAACUGUGUUCCUUGGAUCCUCUCUAAAACACAAGAUCCCUAAAGGCAGCGACACACUUCACACCCCCAAGGAGCACAGGCGAUGUCGGGGUGAUUCCAGGCUGCUCUGUACUUUCUUGCUGAAUGAGUGGACGGGCUAGAGAAGAAACGGCAGAAGAGAAAGACAACCAGGUGCCCUGUCACUGCCUAUCACUGCCUGCCCUGCAGACUUCCAGCCCUUAGGAAGCUCACUCCUGAAACAAGUCCCUACAAGAUGGAAAGAUGAGGCUCUGAGAUAAGUAAUGUAGCUCUCAAUCUAGGUGUUCCUCCCUCACAGCCAAAAAGAGAGAAUUUAGUCCAUCUCAAGUCUAUCCUAGCUCUCUGCUUUUGAGUGCAAGUUGCCUGCCUGUUACCUUCUUUUCCACUAUAAACUCAGUCUUGUGAGAUAAGGGAAGGGACCUCACCUCUCCUGGCUGGGAACUUGCUGUUCCCAUCUUACCAGAAGGUCCAUUCAGAUAAAUGUUACAAAUGGUUGCCAGGUGUGUGCAAAUGAGAGCUCCUGACUUUUAUCCACCCUUCCUAUUGCAUGCGGUCACUUCCGCCAUACACAGUGUCCCUGGAUUGCCAACCCUGGACCAUCUGGUCAACCCAUUAUUCCCUGUUUGCUGUCUAUUCACCUGCCAUUUCCAACAGCCCUCACUGCCCUCAACUGAUCUUCCCCAAGUAUUAACUGGUCCAUCCUUAUCGAGAUCCCCAAAGGAGUCCAUUACAUUCUUCUUCAAAUGCAUUUUGCUCAAUAAAUGAGAAGGAAACCCAGAGCCCUAAAGUUCUAAGAGAGUCUUAAUCUUGGAAAGAUUGAUUUACAUACAGUAUUGCACUCUUGGCAAGUCCACAAGAGAGACUGGAAGUCCAGAAUGGCUUCGGCCUUCCCCAACAGUAUGAGGGUGAUAUUUAAAGAGAAAACAUUUUUCAAUCCUCGGGUUAUGUGCUUUAAACAUUGUCUUGACAUCUGUUCUUUAAAAGCACAAUAGAAAGCAUGCUUUCAACUACAAACACAGAUAAAAUAUGGAAACACAGCUCUGUAUUUCUGGACUGUGGACAUGCUAAGUGAUAGGGAUUUGCAUGACUAAGCUUCUACUAUGCUGACAUAUGCAAAAUCCAGCAACAAUCAAAUCCUUCUUCGUUUGACAAUGUUUAAAUGAGAAGCAGAG
ensembl:lncRNA